UAAGCUGCAGAAACGGCCUCUGUGGGCUUGGAUCCCCCAUCGCUUCCCAGCUCCCACAAACUGCCCAGGGCCUCUCCUAGCCACAUGCACCUCCUCAACAGUAUGGUCGUCUUCUUUCCAAAAUUGAGCCUACUCACCACCGAGGAAGCAGCAUACCCCAGGUCAGCUCCAGGCAAAGGCGCAGAGUAACUAGAGGCUGUGAUAACAACUACCACCGUCACACCCGUGACACACUGAAUGCUUCCCACAGAGCCGGACGCCAAGUGAAAUGUGUAUCCUGUCAUCUAAUGGCCAGAGCAGCCUAUGCAGGACACCGAGUGGCAUUGCUUCCCAAGGUUCAGAUGAGCUGCGAGCUGCAGGCUGCUUCUGCUGACAGGAAUCCCUGAGGAGGAUGCUCUCUUCAAAGGAAAUCUAAUGAGAAAAGUUCAGAAUGUGAAAGAAAGUAAGGAGGAGUUGCCUGAUGGAAGGACCGGAAUC